rnacentral:lncRNA from 10 species
GCCUCAGCCCCCCGAGUAGCUGGGAUUACAGGCAUGUGCCACCAAAACUGGCUAAUUUUUUUUUUUUUCCCCUGAGAUGGCGUCUCGCCUAUUGCCCAGGCUGGAGUGCAAUGGCGCGAUCUUGGCUCAUUGCAACCUCCGCCUCCCAGACUCAAAUGAUUCUCCUGCCUCAGCCUCCCAAGCAGCUGGGAUUACAGGUGUGCGCCAUGAUGCCUGGCUAAUUUUUUGUUAUCUUUAGUAGGGAUGGGCUUUCACCAUGUUGGCCAGGCUGGUCUUGUACUCCUGACCUCGUGAUCCGCCCGCCUCGGCCUCCCAAAGUGCUGGGAUGACAGGCGUGAGCCACCGCGCCCGGCCCCACUGUACUUUAAAAAUGAGCAUUGCUACUGCAAUAUUAUAGGGUAAUAGCAGCACAGGCCACACUGAGCCAUCAGUGUCGUCGGUUUUGAGAAGAGACCCGCUGGAGCCAGGCUCUUUAGCUCCUUCUGAGAAACCCUACGGAAAGAGGCGUGGAGCAGGCCCAGCCGGGAGCCCAGGGAGAGUGGACUCCGCACACCGAGACCCGCCUGAGCAGCAGAGAAUGGCUUCCGGCUUCCGCACACCGAGACCCGCCGGUGACAGUGCCAAGCCUGACCUCCCCUCUAAGGUCAGAAAAACAAUGAGCAACGUGCGUCAAUGAGGGCAGCAGCUUCCAAACAGACACCUGGGGAAACCUGGAAAUCUUCAGUGAUGUUUUGGUGGAGUGAGAACCUCUACAAAGGUUUGAUUCUAACUUCACUUUUAAAAUGCAUUUAGUUUUAGUUCUAAAAACUAAACAUUAAAAAUGGUAAUAACGCAACGCGCAUCCUCAAAUGUCUUCUGGGGGCAAAUGUAAGAUGUCGGAGGCCCUUGCUUCUGUUAACCUCUUUCUCCAAGGGCUGUUCACGGCCAUGAAGACUU